AGUUAAUGAGCUUGAUAAAGCUUAUAUUUUGAAAAUAUACCAAAGGGUAAUUAUCCCUAUUAACUU
rnacentral:tRNA from 2 species